rnacentral:rRNA from 1 species
UGGGCGUAAGCGCGCGCAGGUGGUUUCUUAAGUCUGAUGUGAAAGCCCACGGCUCAACCGUGGAGGGUCAUUGGAAACUGGGAGACUUGAGUGCAGAAGAGGAAAGUGGAAUUCCAUGUGUAGCGGUGAAAUGCGUAGAGAUAUGGAGGAACACCAGUGGCGAAGGCGACUUUCUGGUCUGUAACUGACACUGAGGCGCGAAAGCGUGGGGAGCAAACAGGAUUAUAUACCCUGGUACUCCACGCCGUAAACGAUGAGUGCUAAGUGUUAGAGGGUUUCCGCCCUUUAGUGCUGAAGUUAACGCAUUAAGCACUCCGCCUGGGGAGCACGGCCGCAAGGCUGAAACUCAAAGGAUAUUGACGGGGGCC